rnacentral:rRNA from 1 species
UACGGGAGGCAGCAGUGGGGGAUAUUGCACAAUGGGGGAAACCCUGAUGCAGCGACGCCGCGUGAGGGAAGAAGGUUUUCGGAUUGUAAACCUCUGUCUUUGGGGACGAUAAUGACGGUACCCAAGGAGGAAGCUCCGGCUAACUACGUGCCAGCAGCCGCGGUAAU